GCCUACACGACCGUACCGCAAACCGACACUGGUGCGCGAGAUGAGUAUUCUAAGGCGCUUGAGAGAACUCAGGAGAAGGAACUCGGCAAAUUGACACCGUAACUUCGGAAGAAGGUGUGCCUUUAGUAGGUGAAGGGAUUUACUCCCGGAGCCCAAUGAGGUUGCAAAAAAAUCGGUGGCUGCGACUGUUUAAUAAAAACACAGCACUCUGCAAACACGAAAGUGGACGUAUAGGGUGUGACGCCUGCCCGGUGCUGGAAGAUUAAAUGAUGGGGUGCAAGCUCUUGAUUGAAGUCCCAGUAAACGGCGGCCGUAACUAUAACGGUCCUAAGGUAGCGAAAUUCCUUGUCGGGUAAGUUCCGACCUGCACGAAUGGCGUAACGAUGGCCACACUGUCUCCUCCUGAGACUCAGCGAAGUUGAAAUGUUUGUGAUGAUGCAAUCUCCCCGCGGAAAGACGGAAAGACCCCAUGAACCUUUACUGUAGCUUUGUAUUGGACUUUGAACAGAUCUGUGUAGGAUAGGUGGGAGGCUUUGAAGCAGGGUCGCUAGAUCUUGUGGAGCCAACGUUGAAAUACCACCCUGGUGUGUUUGAGGUUCUAACCUAGGUCCAUUAUCUGGAUCGGGGACAGUGCAUGGUAGGCAGUUUGACUGGGGCGGUCUCCUCCCAAAGCGUAACGGAGGAGUUCGAAGGUACGCUAGGUACGGUCGGACAUCGUGCUAAUAGUGCAAUGGCAUAAGCGUGCUUAACUGCGAGACUGACAAGUCGAGCAGAUGCGAAAGCAGGACAUAGUGAUCCGGUGGUUCUGUAUGGAAGGGCCAUCGCUCAACGGAUAAAAGGUACUCUGGGGAUAACAGGCUGAUACCGCCCAAGAGUUCAUAUCGACGGCGGUGUUUGGCACCUCGAUGUCGGCUCAUCUCAUCCUGGGGCUGUAGCCGGUCCCAAGGGUAUGGCUGUUCGCCAUUUAAAGAGGUACGUGAGCUGGGUUUAAAACGUCGUGAGACAGUUUGGUCCCUAUCUUCCGUGGGCGCUGCAGAUUUGAGGAAGCCUGCUCCUAGUACGAGAGGACCGGAGUGGACACACCUCUGGUGUAUCGGUUGUCACGCCAGUGGCAUUGCCGAGUAGCUAAGUGUGGAAGAGAUAACCGCUGAAAGCAUCUAAGCGGGAAACUCGUUUCAAGAUGAGAUCUGCCGGGGCCUUGAGCCCCCUAAAGAGUCGUUCAAGACCAGGACGUUGAUAGGUCAGGUGUGGAAGCGCAGUAAUGCGUUAAGCUAACUGAUACUAAUUGCUCGUGCGGCUUGACCCU
rnacentral:rRNA from 1 species